rnacentral:tRNA from 1 species
GUCAAGAUGGUUGAAUGGUCUAAAGCGCCAGACUCAAGUUGUAACUUCCCUUUGCUGGGGCUUCGGGUCUCCACAUGGAGGUGUGGGUUCCAUUCCCACUCCUGGCA